ensembl:lncRNA
CUCUGUACUGCCUUAAUGGUGUAGGUCGACAAAUGGGGGUGGUCGGGGUUGUGGACGCCCGUGCACUGAAGGCCGGGUGCGGGGAGGUUUGUCUCUUUAUAUUUAUUAGUAACCGGGAUAAUUCUUCUAGCAGGGGGUGAUCGAGAGUCGGGGUUGGAUUGGUAUUGAUGCUGUCCAUUGGGGGGCGGUGUAGUUGGGGAAGGGCAGGGUUGUUGUUGUCCAGCAGGGGGCAGUCUAGUUGGGGAAGGGUAAGGUUGGAGUGGUCCAGCAGGGGGCAGUCUAGUUGGGGAAGGGUAAGGUUGGAGUGGUCCAGCAGGGGGCAGUCUAGUUGGGGAAGGGUAAGGUUGGAGUGGUCCAGCAGGGGGCGCUGUAGUUGGGGAAGGGUAAGGUUGGAGUGGUCCAGCAGGGGGCAGUCUAGUUGGGGAAGGGUAAGGUUGGAGUGGUCCAACUUUGGCGGAGGGGGAGGUGUGGCUUGGGACUGAGUGAGAGAACUCAAAAAAUGGCGGCCGUGAUGCUAUAACUCUGUGUGGCUUGUCUAACACACGAGAGCGGAUGAGAGACUAGGGGGUAACUUUUGU